rnacentral:lncRNA from 1 species
ACUUCGUAUGAGCUACAAAGGAUAAAGGCAAUGUGAUGCUUUAAGCCGUCUCAAAGUUAUAGAUUCUCCUCAGUCAAGUCGGCAGUGCAGCUAGACACAAUAUUUCUCAAGCUCUCAUGUCAUGUCCAGUGGGAUGAAAUAUCACAGGGAAGUCUGGAGAAACUUUUCAGAAUAAAGAUAGGUGGCUAAUCCUGAUUUAAGUGAAAUCUGACAAGUUAUGGUCAUUGCUGAAGCUGGUUAUUUUAUCCAGAUUAUUGUUAACUUGCUGAAUGCU